rnacentral:lncRNA from 1 species
AAAAAACUGAGUAAUUCUUACUUCACCAUGUGGCGCACUCCAGGGAUCUUCUUUUUGGUAGUGUCUUCCACUAAGAAAGAUGUGCCUUCCAAAAGUUCUGUCUAGGAAGAAAGCGAUCCAAGAGCUUUCUUAUGGGAUUCUGUCUGGUUGCUGAGAUCCCUGUUGAAGACUGGCAAGUGCAAGGGAUGGAACUCUUGGUCAGGCAUGUCUCAAGG